UCAGGACGGGGACAACAGCUGGAAACGGCUGCUAAUACCCGAUAUGCCGAAAGGUGAAACGUUGUUUCGCCUGGAGAGGAGCUCGCGUCCGAUUAGCUAGUUGGUGGGGUAAAAGCUUACCAAGGCGACGAUCGGUAGCUGGUCUGAGAGGAUGAGCAGCCACACUGGAACUGAGACACGGUCCAGACUCCUACGGGAGGCAGCAGUGGGGAAUUUUCCGCAAUGGGCGAAAGCCUGACGGAGCAACGCCGCGUGGGGGAAGAAGGUUUUUGGAUUGUAAACCCCUUUUCUCAAGGAAGAACAAAAUGACGGUACUUGAGGAAUCAGCCUCGGCUAACUCCGUGCCAGCAGCCGCGGUAAUACGGAGGAGGCAAGCGUUAUCCGGAAUUAUUGGGCGUAAAGCGUUCGUAGGCGGCUGUUCAAGUCUGCUGUCAAAGACCGAGGCUCAACCUCGGGUCGGCAGUGGAAACUGGAUAGCUAGAGGUCGGUAGGGGCAGAGGGAAUUCCCAGUGUAGCGGUGAAAUGCGUAGAUAUUGGGAAGAACACCGGUGGCGAAAGCGCUCUGCUGGGCCGAACCUGACGCUGAGGGACGAAAGCUAGGGGAGCGAAUGG
rnacentral:rRNA from 1 species